GAGCUUCAUGUGUUUUGGUUACGUGUAUUGAGUGAAGAAGAAGAAGAAGAAGACAGCCUAUGACCAAAACAAGUCGUUUUGUAAAUAUCGUCUGAACUCACCGAAACAGCCUUGUCCUGGAUGUAAAUACGAACUUAUUACAGCAGAUGUUUUAAAGAUGUUACGGGAUUUGACCUCAAUAUUAGUUGGAGGGUCACGAGGACUCCCCCCUACACUCGCAUUUCUCUUCAAGUUAGCUUGGGCUUCACGUGUUCGUUUACCUUUACUAAUUGCAGUAGGAUUUAUGGUUACGAACAUUCAUUUACGUUUAGAAAUAAAUGUUAAUAUUGAAGUAGGAGAAGAUGAGCCACCUCCUGAACAACAACCUCAAAACCAGCAGCAGCAGCUGCAGAGUCAACAUGAUGCGUAGUCAUAAUGAGCUUUAAACAGAUGUAAGAUCUAUCUGACCAAGGUAGGAACAAACCAGACUCAAGUGUGGUCAAGGCAGAAGAACAAGCAGAAACUGGUAUUAAAAACCAUUAUACAACAGCAUUCAAACAAACAAGGAC